rnacentral:rRNA from 1 species
GACGGUACUUGAGGAAUAAGCCACGGCUAAUUCCGUGCCAGCAGCCGCGGUAAUACGGGAGUGGCAAGCGUUAUCCGGAAUCAUUGGGCGUAAAGCGUCCGCAGGUGGCUUUGUAAGUCUGCUGUUAAAGCGUGGAGCUUAACUCCAUUUCAGCGGUGGAAACUACAAAGCUUGAGUGUGGUAGGGGCAGAGGGAAUUCCCGGUGUAGCGGUGAAAUGCGUAGAUAUCGGGAAGAACACCAGUGGCGAAGGCGCUCUGCUGGGCCAUAACUGACACUCAUGGACGAAAGCCAGGGGAGCGAAAGGGAUUAGAUACCCCUGUAGUCCUGGCCGUAAACGAUGAACACUAGGCGUCGGGGGAAUCGACCCCCUCGGUGUCGUAGCCAACGCGUUAAGUGUUCCGCCUGGGGAGUACGCACGCAAGUGUGAAACUCAAAGGAAUUGACGGGGGCCCGCACAAGCGGUGGAGUAUGUGGUUUAAUUCGAUGCAACGCGAAGAACCUUACCAGGGUUUGACAUCCUGCGAACCCCUGAGAAAUCGGGGGGUGCCUUCGGGAACGCAGUGACAGGUGGUGCAUGGCUGUCGUCAGCUCGUGUCGUGAGAUGUUGGGUUAAGUCCCGCAACGAGCGCAACCCACGUCUUUAGUUGCCAGCAUUCAGUUGGGCACUCUAGAGAGACCGCCGGUGAUAAACCGGAGGAAGGUGUGGAUGACGUCAAGUCAUCAUGCCCCUUACAUCCUGGGCUACACACGUACUACAAUGCUACGGACAAAGGGCAGCAAACUCGCGAGAGCAAGCAAACCCCAUAAGCCGUGGCUCAGUUCAGAUCGUAGGCUGCAACUCGCCUACGUGAAGGAGGAAUCGCUAGUAAUCGCAGGUCAGCAUACUGCGGUGAAUACGUUCCCGGGCCUUGUACACACCGCCCGUCACACCAUGGAAGUUAGCCACGCCCGAAGUCGUUACUCCAACCCUUGUGGAGGAGGAUGC